AGCGAAGUUUGUGUCAUCUGCAACCUAUACUGUGUCAGAUUCACCUGGAUCGUUGCCAACAACAAAAAAAGUUCUCCACCUUUUUCAUUUUUACUUCUCAGAAUUCUUUUCUGCAGGCUGCACAGAAUUAGAAAUGCAAACAGGGUUCUUUCAAACUUGCAGGUGUUAGUGAUCGUUCUUGGAAAUAUUUUAGAACGCAAAUGUUCAAAAGUUUUAGUUUUUUUUAAUUCUUCUAAGAAAUGACUAGAAUAUUGCAUUCGCC